AGAAUUGGGUUUUUUUUUUUCAUAGGGUUUUGGGAAGACUGAGGCAAUCGUUGCUGAAGUCAGUGUUGUAAUGGUGAAUCGGGAUUUUUAAUGAAGUGGGUUUGAUUACUCUUGACUAUUUUGUGAAAUCGAGUUACGUCUGUGAUGAAAAAUUAAAAGGAUGUCUAUAGGAUUGAGUAUGCGGAGUGAAUGAAAUUUAUUGGAUUAAUCUAACAAGACAGUCAGUGGAUACAAGAUCGUGAGUAUAAAGCGGUAUCGAAGUUUAGCAGUUUGGGUUGUUCGGGGUUCUUUGUAACGUCUAGAGACCUAC
rnacentral:lncRNA from 1 species